GAUGAACGCUAGCUACAGGCUUAACACAUGCAAGUCGCGGGGCAGCAUGGGGGUUGCUUGCAAUCCCCGAUGGCGACCGGCGCACGGGUGAGUAACGCGUAUCCAACCUGCCCUUCACCACGGGAUAACCCGGCGAAAGUCGGACUAAUACCGUAUGUUGUCCAUUGACGGCAUCCGAUUUGGACGAAAGGCUUGGCGGUGAGGGAUGGGGAUGCGUCCGAUUAGCCAGACGGCGGGGUAACGGCCCACCGUGGCUACGAUCGGUAGGGGCUCUGAGAGGAAGGUCCCCCACACUGGAACUGAGACACGGUCCAGACUCCUACGGGAGGCAGCAGUGAGGAAUAUUGGUCAAUGGGCGUAAGCCUGAACCAGCCAAGUAGCGUGCAGGAUGACGGCCCUAUGGGUUGUAAACUGCUUUUAUGCGGGGAUAAAGUGGCCCACGUGUGGGCUUUUCAGGUACCGCAUGAAUAAGGACCGGCUAAUUCCGUG
rnacentral:rRNA from 1 species